GACGAACGCUGGCGGCGUGCUUAACACAUGCAAGUCGAACGGAAAGGCCCUGCUUUUGUGGGGUGCUCGAGUGGCGAACGGGUGAGUAACACGUGAGUAACCUGCCCUUGACUUUGGGAUAACUUCAGGAAACUGGGGCUAAUACCGGAUAGGAGCUCCUGCUGCAUGGUGGGGGUUGGAAAGUUUCGGCGGUUGGGGAUGGACUCGCGGCUUAUCAGCUUGUUGGUGGGGUAGUGGCUCACCAAGGCUUUGACGGGUAGCCGGCCUGAGAGGGUGACCGGCCACAUUGGGACUGAGAUACGGCCCAGACUCCUACGGGAGGCAGCAGUGGGGAAUAUUGCACAAUGGGCGGAAGCCUGAUGCAGCAACGCCGCGUGCGGGAUGACGGCCUUCGGGUUGUAAACCGCUUUCGCCUGUGACGAAGCGUGAGUGACGGGAAUGGGUAAAGAAGCACCGGCUAACUACGU
rnacentral:rRNA from 1 species